AGAGUGCCCUGGCUCCAUCGUGGAAAUCAGGGUAGAGGGGCUCCAAAGAUCUUGGCAAGGAGCCCUCUGUUGGAUCGGGCCUGGUCCUCGACAUUAGCCAGCCGUGCUCUUUCCCGCCCUCCUGGCCGUGCAGCUUUCCGGGCCCUAAACUCCUGCUCAGUGGGACGCUGGGUGAAUGUCCAGGAGCUAUUUGGCCGAGUAGCAUCCCCAUCAGCUGCAAGGAAGUGUUGUCCCUGUUCUACGUUUCGAAGAUAGAAGUCAGUCUCUCUCUUUGCUUGGGCGACCUCUGCUCUCAGGCGUUGCCUUCGUACUUGGCGCUCAAAGGCAAGGUGUUCACUGAGGUGGGACCAAGUAAAACGAUGCAAAUACUGUGAGAAGGAAAAGAAGAAAAGGUCACGGUAGGGAAGGUCGGGAGAAGAAACUGGGAGCUGCUCAGAGCUAGCAGGAAGGAUGGGGUGCCUGGACUAGAGCUGGAGGGGGGAAUGAAGAUGUGGCAGACAAACUGAGAACCUCACCUUGAGGUUCCACAGGUCAUAACGGAAGGGGCUGCGCUUGCGGGCGCCCAUGGGCGUGUUAUGUAGACUGGCUGCCACUCGCUUGGCUACACGCUUGUCUCGGAACUCCACCCAGCCUUCGGUAUAGUCCUUGCUGUACUUAGCUCCCUUCUUUCCUCCUGCGGCCGCGGCUGCCUUCUUCUUGCGUUUCACAAAGUGGUCUGUAGGCCAAACACAAUGAACAUCCCAUCAAGCACCCACUGAGACACACCUCAGUUUAGCCGUAAGCCACACCUGCUGGUUUAGGCGCUACUUUACAGGGAUUGAUGAAACACGGCUGUCUGUAAGGGGCAGCUCCUCCUUUCCUUAAUUCAUGCCUCCCUUCAAAUGACAACUUCUUGAACAUUAGAACAGCACCAAGAACAACACCAGUCCCCACCUCCAUUUCCAAGUUGUGCAUGUCAAGAGGUGGAAGAGAGCCAGGCAUGGUAGUGCACGCCUUUAAUCCCAGCACUUGGGAGGCAGCAGCAGGCGGAUCUCUGAGUUCGAGGCCAGCCUGGUCUACAGAGUGAGUUCCAGGACAGCCAGAGCUACAAAGAAACCCUGUC
rnacentral:lncRNA from 1 species